rnacentral:rRNA from 1 species
GAUGAACGCUGGCGGCGUGCCUAACACAUGCAAGUCGAACGGAGUCCAGCCUUUAAGACCUUCGGGUCAAAGAGGGGAAGACUGAGUGGCGGACGGGUGAGUAACACGUGGGCAACCUGGCUCAUAGAGGGGGAUAACAGAGAGAAAUUUCUGCUAAUACCGCAUAAGCACACACUGCCGCAUGGCAGAGGGUGAAAAGAGAAUCGCUAUGAGAUGGACCCGCGUCUGAUUAGCCAGUUGGCAGGGUAAGAGCCUACCAAAGCGACGAUCAGUAGCCGAUCUAAGAGGAUGAACGGCCACAUUGGGACUGAGACACGGCCCAAACUCCUACGGGAGGCAGCAGUGGGGGAUAUUGCACAAUGGGGGGAACCCUGAUGCAGCGACGCCGCGUGAGUGAAGAAGUAUUUCGGUAUGUAAAGCUCUAUCAGCAGGGAAGAUAAUGACAGUACCUGAAUAAGAAGCCCCGGCUAACUACGUG